rnacentral:rRNA from 1 species
UGGGGAAUAUUGGACAAUGGGGGGAACUCUGAUCCAGCCAUGCCGCGUGUGUGAAGAAGGCCUUAUGGUUGUAAAGCACUUUAAGCGAGGAGGAGGGUACUGGUAUUAAUACUACCAGGUACUGGACGUUACUCGCAGAAUAAGCACCGGCUAACUCUGUGCCAGCAGCCGCGGUAAUACAGAGGGUGCGAGCGUUAAUCGGAUUUACUGGGCGUAAAGCGUGCGUAGGCGGCUAAUUGAGUCGGAUGUGAAAUCCCCGAGCUUAACUUGGGAAUUGCAUUCGAUACUGGUUAGAUAGAGUGUGGGGGAGGAUGGUGGCAUACCAGGUGUAGCGGUGAAAUGCGUGGAGAUCUGGAGGAGUACCGAUGGCGAAGGCGGCCAUCUGGCCUAACACUGACGCUGAGGUACGAAAGCAUGGGGAGCAAACAGG